rnacentral:rRNA from 1 species
AGUGAACGCUGGCGGUAGGCCUAACACAUGCAAGUCGAACGGCAGCACAGUAAGAGCUUGCUCUUACGGGUGGCGAGUGGCGGACGGGUGAGGAAUACAUCGGAAUCUACUUUUUCGUGGGGGAUAACGUAGGGAAACUUACGCUAAUACCGCAUACGACCUACGGGUGAAAGCAGGGGACCUUCGGACCUUGCGCGAUUGAAUGAGCCGAUGUCGGAUUAGCUAGUUGGCGGGGUAAAGGCCCACCAAGGCGACGAUCCGUAGCUGGUCUGAGAGGAUGAUCAGCCACACUGGAACUGAGACACGGUCCAGACUCCUACGGGAGGCAGCAGUGGGGAAUAUUGGACAAUGGGCGCAAGCCUGAUCCAGCCAUACCGCGUGUGUGAAGAAGGCCUUCGGGUUGUAAAGCCCUUUUGUUGGGAAAGAAAAGCAGCAGGUUAAUACCCCGCUGUUCUGACGGUACCCAAAGAAUAAGCACCGGCUAACUUCGUG